rnacentral:rRNA from 1 species
AACGAACGCUGGCGGCAUGCCUAACACAUGCAAGUCGAACGAGACCUUCGGGUCUAGUGGCGCACGGGUGCGUAACACGUGGGAAUUUGCCUCGGGGUAUGGAAUAACUCAGGGAAACUUGAGCUAAUACCAUAUAAUGUCUUCGGACCAAAGAUUUAUCGCCCUGAGAUAAGCCCGCGUAGGAUUAGCUAGUUGGUGGGGUAAAGGCUCACCAAGGCGACGAUCCUUAGCUGGUCUGAGAGGAUGAUCAGCCACACUGGGACUGAGACACGGCCCAGACUCCUACGGGAGGCAGCAGUGGGGAAUUUUUGGACAAUGGGCGCAAGCCUGAUCCAGCAAUGCCGCGUGCAGGAUGAAGGCCUUCGGUUGUAACUAGCUUUUGUACGGUAACGAAACGGU